GGGCGUUAAGUUGCAGGGUAUAGACCCGAAACCCGGUGAUCUAGCCAUGGGCAGGUUGAAGGUUGGGUAACACUAACUGGAGGACCGAACCGACUAAUGUUGAAAAAUUAGCGGAUGACCUGUGGCUGGGGGUGAAAGGCCAAUCAAACCGGGAGAUAGCUGGUUCUCCCCGAAAGCUAUUUAGGUAGCGCCUCGUGAAUUCAUCUCCGGGGGUAGAGCACUGUUUCGGCUAGGGGGCCAUCCCGGCUUACCAACCCGAUGCAAACUGCGAAUACCGGAGAAUGUUAUCACGGGAGACACACGGCGGGUGCUAACGUCCGUCGUGAAGAGGGAAACAACCCAGACCGCCAGCUAAGGUCCCAAAGUCAUGGUUAAGUGGGAAACGAUGUGGGAAGGCCCAGACAGCCAGGAUGUUGGCUUAGAAGCAGCCAUCAUUUAAAGAAAGCGUAAUAGCUCACUGGUCGAGUCGGCCUGCGCGGAAGAUGUAACGGGGCUAAACCAUGCACCGAAGCUGCGGCAGCGACGCUGAUGCGUUGUUGGGUAGGGGAGCGUUCUGUAAGCCUGCGAAGGUGACCUGUGAGGGUUGCUGGAGGUAUCAGAAGUGCGAAUGCUGACAUAAGUAACGAUAAAGCGGGUGAAAAGCCCGCUCGCCGGAAGACCAAGGGUUCCUGUCCAACGUUAAUCGGGGCAGGGUGAGUCGACCCCUAAGGCGAGGCCGAAAGGCGUAGUCGAUGGGAAACGGGUUAAUAUUCCCGUACUUGGUGUUACUGCGAAGGGGGGACGGAGAAGGCUAUGUUGGCCGGGCGACGGUUGUCCCGGUUUAAGCGUGUAGGUGUGUGUUCCAGGUAAAUCCGGUUCACUUUAACACUGAGGCGUGACGACGAGGCACUACGGUGCUGAAGCAACAAAUGCCCUGCUUCCAGGAAAAGCCUCUAAGCAUCAGGUAACACGAAAUCGUACCCCAAACCGACACAGGUGGUCAGGUAGAGAAUACCAAGGCGCUUGAGAGAACUCGGGUGAAGGAACUAGGCAAAAUGGUGCCGUAACUUCGGGAGAAGGCACGCUGACACGUAGGUGAAGUGAUUUACUCAUGGAGCUGAAGUCAGUCGAAGAUACCAGCUGGCUGCAACUGUUUAUUAAAAACACAGCACUGUGCAAACACGAAAGUGGACGUAUACGGUGUGACGCCUGCCCGGUGCCGGAAGGUUAAUUGAUGGGGUCAGCGCAAGCGAAGCUCCUGAUCGAAGCCCCGGUAAACGGCGGCCGUAACUAUAACGGUCCUAAGGUAGCGAAAUUCCUUGUCGGGUAAGUUCCGACCUGCACGAAUGGCGUAAUGAUGGCCAGGCUGUCUCC
rnacentral:rRNA from 2 species